UCGAGGCAGGGAAGGCCCAGGGAAGGGGCUCACUCAGGGGCAUGGGCCACUCUGCAGGGAUGCUGGACCUGACAGCAAUGCAGUGCUUCGGAACUCCCCUGGGCUGGGUUUCUAACCAGUGGGAUGGAAGGGCCUUUCCUUCCUGGGGUGCAUUUGGGGGAACUAGAUACGUCAUGAAUGUCAGCCCUGAAAAUGGAGGCUGCGCUACAUCCAUUCUUGGAAAGAAAAAUCAGGCCCUUCCAGCCCAGGUGACUCAGAAAGUCAGUCAGCAAUGUUCGGGGUCCCCAGUUUAGGCUUUCAAUUUGAGCUGAGCGGCUCAGGAGGCCAGAUCCCUGUCCGUGGCUCCAGGAGUAGGCUUUCUGCUGGGGGACAGGAUCCUCACAAACACCUGUGUCUUUGUGGGUCACUCCCCUCUGACAAGCUGGGAGGCAGGGUGCAGUUGUGGGAAAUCGUGUUUCCAUGAGGAGAGGGCCACCAAGUGGUGGGGGCACAGGAGACAGUGAGAAAGAGUCCCGCGGCCUUUCUGGAAUCAAAAAACUGGCAAAUGUGAAAAAGUGCAUAAUUUGUUUUAUUGAACAGGCUGCUUAUGUACGUUUGGAGGGCCAGGUUCAAGGACACUGCAUCCCUCCAGGACAAUAGCCUCAAAAGAAGAACAGACAGAGCAGGAAGAGAUGUGGGGUUUCUCCCAGGAAUGAGGCAGAACAGGGAUUUCUGCAGAUUUGCAAGGAGACCCCGACCGCUGAGCACCGGGUUACAACCCCACGUGACCCUUGUCGUGUUUGGCUUGGGCUCUGGGUCUGGCCUGAUCAUGUAUUCUUCCAGCUGAGUUCCAGAAAUUCAGAGGGUAGACUUAGAGAGGCUGCGUUUGGAACCCGGUGUGGAGACGGAGGGUCCUUUAUCCUGAGUCCCCUCAGCCUAAUCACUGUAGCUGAGUUCCAACACCACCCAGGCCCCCAGGGUGGCCGUGGAGGGAGAGCAAGCCUGGCAGGUGACCCAGGGGUCCCACUGCUGUGCCCCUCCCUUAUCUUUGUUCCCUUUCACCCCGGAAGGUGUGAUUGUCUCAUGUCAUGGUGACAAGCCAUCUCUCUUCUCUGUCAGGUGGGAUCCCCACCCCCGCUCAGCCUUCUUUCUGCAUGGAUGCUGAAGGACCAGGCUCACUUGAAGUUCUGAGUUUGAGCAGUAAGGUGGAAACAAAGAAACCAAUGGAAACAAAGAAACAAGUCAUUGUGGCAAAGCUCCCCACCACAGAGAAGCUGCCCUGAGUGGAAGGGAGGAAAAGGCUGACCAGCCUCUGGUUCCCGUACCGGUCAACUGAUUGGAGUACCUUUCCAGUUUGGAAACAUCUGGGCAGGCCCAGCUGGUAAGUUUACUUUUCUACUUUAACCAAGCAAACUGAAGCCAACAGAAGAGAACUUUCACCAGCAACUCCCAGCACAUCCGCUCGCCUUCUGAUGUCUGUGACCUCACUCUCGCUGCCCCACCUCUUAUUACAGAUUGAACAGGAUCCAGGGGGAAGUACCAAGCCUGUCCCAUCGGCCAUCCUGUGUGUCAUGUCCUGUGACCCAGUGGAUGCUCAGCACCCUCCAGCUGAAGAAACAGAUUGCCUUAGGUACAUGAAAGGUGAGGACACCUACUAUCCCCAUGGAGCCCAGGUGGGGCUGGGAGUCUGCUGUUUGUACAGCCGGUGGGCUCGUGUUUCUUUGGGCAUCCCUGUGCCUGAAUUCCUGCAGUACACUCGGUGCCUGUUUCCUAAUCUGCAAAACUGGAAUGAUGUUAACCACCCCGCAGGUUUGUUGAUGGGCUGGGACACACUAGACUGCCAGGAGCUGGAAUUCCUCUGUGCCCUGAUUGUAAUCCUUCCUUCACACUAUUUACUCUCACAAGUUCAGUCUCUCUGUCUCUCUCUCAUUCACUUGUAACUUUCUCUCCUGCUCUGGUUUCAUUUGAUUCCCACCCUCCUCCCAAUCCCCAGAUGAGUGAAAUUAAUUUCUGUGUGUCAGUUCCAAAUUCCUGGGAAAGAUGCUCUGUCCUCUCUGGAUUGGUUGUCCAACCCAUCAGUUGCAGUCAGAGGAGUGAGUCCCUCUGUGACCAGAGGAGGGGCUCUGCCCAGCCCCCCAGCCACCACUGUGGGAGCACAUAGCUCUCCGAGGAGGAGGUACUGGCUGUGACUUGGUGUCACUAAGUGUGAAUUUAUCUCUCCUCUUGCCCCACCUUCAUCCUCCUAAACAAAGAUGAAAAUUAUA